rnacentral:tRNA from 1 species
AAUAAAGUGGCUGAGCUGUAAGCGGUAGAUUGUAAAUCUAAAGACAAGUAAAAAACUUCUUUAUU